UACGAAGGGGGCUAGCGUUGCUCGGAAUUACUGGGCGUAAAGCGCACGUAGGCGGCUUGUUAAGUCAGGGGUGAAAUCCUGGAGCUCAACUCCAGAACUGCCUUUGAUACUGGCGAGCUUGAGUUCGGGAGAGGUGAGUGGAACUGCGAGUGUAGAGGCGAAAUUCGUAGAUAUUCGCAAGAACACCAGUGGCGAAGGCGGCUCACUGGCCCGAUACUGACGCUGAGGUGCGAAAGCGUGGGGAGCAACAGG
rnacentral:rRNA from 1 species